rnacentral:rRNA from 1 species
GAUGAACGCUGGCGGCGUGCCUAAUACAUGCAAGUCGAGCGAACAGACGAGGAGCUUGCUCCUCUGACGUUAGCGGCGGACGGGUGAGUAACACGUGGAUAACCUACCUAUAAGACUGGGAUAACUUCGGGAAACCGGAGCUAAUACCGGAUAAUAUAUUGAACCGCAUGGUUCAAUAGUGAAAGACGGUUUUGCUGUCACUUAUAGAUGGAUCCGCGCCGCAUUAGCUAGUUGGUAAGGUAACGGCUUACCAAGGCGACGAUGCGUAGCCGACCUGAGAGGGUGAUCGGCCACACUGGAACUGAGACACGGUCCAGACUCCUACGGGAGGCAGCAGUAGGGAAUCUUCCGCAAUGGGCGAAAGCUUGACGGAGCAACGCCGCGUGAGUGAUGAAGGUCUUCGGAUCGUAAAACUCUGUUAUUAGGGAAGAACAAAUGUGUAAGUAACUAUGCACGUCUUGACGGAACCUAAUCAGAAAGCCACGGCUAACUACGUG